GGGGGGGGCGGGGGGGGGGCGGGGGGCGGGGGGGGCGGGGGGGGGGGGCCUGCUUGCCGGGGACUCGGGUGGCGCAGAGGGGGGUAACCCGUGGGUGAUCUGCCCUGCCCGUCGGGAUACGCGUGGGGCCCUGGGUCUGCUCCCGGAUAGGGGCCGUGUUUCGUGUGCUGUGUGCGACGCUUUUUCGUUGUAGGAUGAGCUGGCGUCCUAUCCGGUUGGUGGUGGGGUAAUGGCCUACCGAGGCGGCGACGGGUAGCCGGCCUCAGAGGGUGGACGGCCACAUUGGGACUGAGAGACGGCCCAGACUCCUACGGGAGGCAGCAGUGGGGAAUAUGGCACAAUGGGCGCAAGCCGGAUGCAGCGACGCCGCGGGGGGGAUGACGGCCUUCGGGUUGUAAACGCCGUUCGCUAGGGACGAAGCUUUUUGUGACGGUACCUAGAGAAGAAGCACCGGCUAACUACGUG
rnacentral:rRNA from 1 species